UACGUAGGGAGCAAGCGUUGUCCGGAAUGAUUGGGCGUAAAGCGUCCGCAGUGGCUAUGUAAGUCUGCUGUUAAAGAGUGAGGCUCAACCUCAUAAAAGCAGUGGAAACUACAUGGCUAGAGUGCGUUCGGGGCAGAGGGAAUUCCUGGUGUAGCGGUGAAAUGCGUAGAUAUCAGGAAGAACACCGGUGGCGAAAGCGCUCUGCUAGGCCGCAACUGACACUGAGGGACGAAAGCUAGGGGAGCGAAUGGG
rnacentral:rRNA from 1 species